CGCUGGCCUGUUCAAAACUACAUCGCCCAGAAUGCAAACGCUCCCGCUUUGCGCGGUUUGUAAAUAGUUGAGGCACACCUAUGUGCACAGCAAACGCAUGAGUUCUGUUUCCCGGAAGACCAAUGGGCGGCGGUGAGAGCAGCUGGUCUUGUGGUAGCAAGCAUGACUUGUCCCCAUAGCUAAGCCGGGUCUGCCUUGGUUGUAUAUGAAUGGGAGACUUGGAUGUGUGAGCACUGCAAGAUAUUCCCCUCAGGGGAUGAAGAAGAGCAGAAGGUUCCAAGUUCCCUCCCUGGUUUCUCCAAGAUAGGGCUGAGAGAGAUUCCUGCCUGCAACUUUGGAGAAGCUGCUGCCAGUCUGUGAAGACAAUACUGAGCUAGAUAGACCAAUGGUCUGACUCAGUAUAUGGCAGUUUCCUACGUCCUUAUGACAUACAAAUUUGCCCUUAGGGGCGUGAAGCUGGGAUUGCUUUGCUCUGUUCUUUGCAGACUUGUUGGCAAGUGAACAGCAUGAAUGCCUUUUUUCAUCACUGACAGCCUUCCCCAUAGAGCUGUUAUUGGAAGCCUAACCUACUUUACAGGGUUGCUGUAAGGAAAAUGGAGAUGGGGACCAUAUCCUGAGUUCCAAGGAUAGGAUAAAAAUGAAAAGAAAUGCCUAUCGACAAGUGGAAGACGUCUCACCUAGCUCCUCCCUGCAUUGAUCCCAGAACAUAAGAGCUUUGCAGACCCAGUUCUAUCUGGAGAUGCCAGGGAUCGAACCUGGGGCCUUCUGCAUGCAAGGCAGGUGCAUGCAAAGCAUGCAAAGUGGAACUACAGCCCUGUCCCUUUAAGUCAGGGGAGCUGUGCUGCCCCUGGUUCUCCAGGACUCUGCAAAAUGUAUGAUACAGUUCUGUGCCAUGCAGGAUAUAGAACCUUACUGGAUGCAUACCAUAAUAAUGAAGAGGAAGAGUCCUGGAACCCAAAACUACCAAGGAGCCAUGCCCUCUGACCUGGAGUUCCUAAUCCAAGAUGUGUAAGACCUGACUGUGAUGACAUGUUAGUUAGAUAGUAAUUCUGUAUAUGUUUAGAGGCACUCUCAUUAUUACUGCUACUUACAUUCAGGGUUGAGGGCCCUGGUUUUAAAAAAGCCAAGCAAGUUCAGAGUUGGACCUUCUUCAACUUGAGAAGUACCUGAUUAGAAAUAGGGGAGA